AAGUUGUAUUAAAGCAAGGUUUUUACUUAAUAUACAUACUAUAUUAAGUAUAAAUUUAAGACAAUUAAGUUAUAUUAAAACAAUGUCUUAAUCAUAAUAUGUAUUUUAUUUAUUUGAAUGGAAAGUUUUUUAGUUUGUUGUGGAACUAGUCUAGAAAUUACCUAAUAAGCUUCUUAUAACUUGUGUAAUGUGUUUCUUUUACGAAUUUGUAUAUUGGUAUAAUCAUAUCAUGCUAUUCCUACAAUAUUAUAACUAACACUGACUCUCAUAAGUUUGAGUCUCAAGUCACGAAAAAGGGCCAACUCUCACGUGUUGGCAGAAAGUUACCAAAAUAUGUUAAGGACUUUAUUCAGAGAUAAUGUUGCUAAACGAUUUACAGUCGAUAAUCUUUCGAAAGCAGAAAAACUCAGGUUAGCAUCAAAUAGAAAGUUAGCGCAAUUUCUGUGUCAAACAAAGAAUACACGAAUUAUUUGAGAUAUGAUUGAAAUUUGCAAAGAAAGUAAAAAUCAAACUAGUUUCAUUCUAAGUUAUUGUAUAUAAUUUUAAAAUUUUGGAAUAGAAGUGA
rnacentral:lncRNA from 1 species